rnacentral:piRNA from 1 species
UUGACAACCAGUCAUACCAUAUGCAGAA